GGUGAACCAGCGGAGGGAUCAUUACUGAGUUUACGCUCUACAACCCUUUGUGAACAUACCUAUAACUGUUGCUUCGGCGGGUAGGGUCUCCGCGACCCUCCCGGCCUCCCGCCUCCGGGCGGGUCGGCGCCCGCCGGAGGAUAACCAAACUCUGAUUUAACGACGUUUCUUCUGAGUGGUACAAGCAAAUAAUCAAAACUUUUAACAACGGAUCUCUUGGUUCUGGCAUCGAUGAAGAACGCAGCGAAAUGCGAUAAGUAAUGUGAAUUGCAGAAUUCAGUGAAUCAUCGAAUCUUUGAACGCACAUUGCGCCCGCCAGCAUUCUGGCGGGCAUGCCUGUUCGAGCGUCAUUUCAACCCUCAAGCUCUGCUUGGUGUUGGGGCCCUACAGCUGAUGUAGGCCCUCAAAGGUAGUGGCGGACCCUCUCGGAGCCUCCUUUGCGUAGUAACUUUACGUCUCGCACUGGGAUCCGGAGGGACUCUUGCCGUAAAACCCCCAAUUUUCCAAAGGUUGACCUCGGAUCAGGUAGGAAUACCCGCUGAACUUAAGCAUAUCAAUAA
rnacentral:rRNA from 1 species